AGGUCGCUUAUAAACGAUCGCGUUAAGUUCAAUUCCUAGCAUGAGUGACAUGAUGUCAUAGUUACAAGUGCUUUGUCAAUGCUUAUGAUUUUCAUUAAACGUAAUGAUCUUUGAUUGUAUCUCUAUUAUGAUGUCAUGUAGGGAACUUUAGAAGAAUGUUUAGGUUGUUGAAUGAUGUCAUCCAAUCCAAUAAAACAAGGAAAAUCAGAGAGUUAACUAGUGAUGUCACGGUUAAUUUGGAGCAUUGUUGUUCAUAAUUCAAUGAAGUAGUAACUGGAAAUUAAGUUAUUUGCAUACAUAUCAUGUGUGGAGAAAAAACCUCUAGCUAUCCCAUCCAUCAUCUUAUUUCUCACAUUCGUUUUACAAUCCGUCUAGUUUUUCAUACUUGUUUGUUUGUUUCAACUUCAUCCAAAUGAAAACCCCCCUUUUAGUUUCUUGUUUCAAAGUGUUUCAAAUAUGUUUUAGUUUGUGUUUUUAAGUGUUUUGAUUUAAGUAAAAGUCAAUUUUCGUCCAAAGUCAUUUCUAGUGUCUUGUUUAAGUUUAUUUGGUUGUUUUAAGCUGUUUUGAGUAUUUUAAGUUGGCUUUGAGUCUUGUGAGUCUUGUUAAGUGUUUUUAAGUUUAGUUUUAUGUUUUUGAGUCAGUUUAGAGGUUAUUAGCAAGCCCUCCUAAUCCCCGGUGCAGAACGAUCCCUACUUAUACUUGUACUACAAUUGUCAAAAGAGGGUUAAAUUUGUGUGCUAAGAUAAUUUUCGCACCAGGCCCCUCAUUGGGAAAUACACAUACAUCGUCUAAACAAAACCUAGAUUUUGCUCAUGCACUACCCUCACGGGUAACAUCAACAAUAAUCAUAAUUUCUAUAUCGUAACCUCAAUCAUUCAAAUACCUGUUCACAAUACUCAUCUGUCAAACAUGUUCCGUGCGUAAAAUCUCUGUACCAAGGCUCAAACAAUACCAUAACCAAACCAGAAAUGUAACCGCAGUUACACAUAACUCUAACAAAGCUAAGUGCCUACCAUAACUGGAUAAAAUUGUAAAAUAUUCAAAAGCAAUAUGUCCUCUAAGGUCCGGACAUAAACUUAGUACUCAUAACCUUUAAAAAGGCUUCCCAAGAUUGGGAAAUAAAACGCGUGUCACAGAGAUAUGCAAUCAUGAUAUGCACACCAAGUAGUCAAAUAAUGUAGUUCACGAUGUCCUAGCGAGUAGCUUUAUAUUGAAUUUCCCUCCCAAAUUUAGCAAAACUAUGCCAAAAAGAACAAUCAAGAAUUUGAGGGUCAAACAAGUCCAACAAACCUAAAAUACAAGGUAAUUGAAAUUAAUGCAUGACAUCUCGCUACAACUGUAGCUCUUGGAACAUGCAAUCACCAACG
rnacentral:lncRNA from 1 species